UGGGGAAUUUGGACAAUGGGCGAANCCUGNUCCAGCAAUGCCGCGUGUGUGAAGAAGACCUUCGGGUUGUAAAGCACUUUUGUCCGGAAAGAAAUCCUUGGCUCUAAUACAGUCGGGGGAUGACGGUACCGGAAGAAUAAGCACCGGCUAACUACGUGCCAGCAGCCGCGGUAAUACGUAGGGUGCAAGCGUUAAUCGGAAUUACUGGGCGUAAAGCGUGCGCAGGCGGUUUGCUAAGACCGAUGUGAAAUCCCCGGGNUCAACCUGGGAACUGCAUUGGUGACUGGCAGGCUAGAGUAUGGCAGAGGGGGGUAGAAUUCCACGUGUAGCAGUGAAAUGCGUAGAGAUGUGGAGGAAUACCGAUGGCGAAGGCAGCCCCCUGGGCCAAUACUGACGCUCAUGCACGAAAGCGUGGGGAGCAAACAGGAUUAGAUACCCUGGUAGUCCAGCGCCCUAAACGAUGUCAACUAGUU
rnacentral:rRNA from 1 species